GAUGAACGCUGGCGGCGUGCCUAAUACAUGCAAGUCGAGCGAACGGACGAGAAGCUUGCUUCUCUGAUGUUAGCGGCGGACGGGUGAGUAACACGUGGAUAACCUACCUAUAAGACUGGGAUAACUUCGGGAAACCGGAGCUAAUACCGGAUAAUAUUUUGAACCGCAUGGUUCAAAAGUGAAAGACGGUCUUGCUGUCACUUAUAGAUGGAUCCGCGCUGCAUUAGCUAGUUGGUAAGGUAACGGCUUACCAAGGCAACGAUGCAUAGCCGACCUGAGAGGUGGCGGGCCCCCACGGGCACAGAGCCACGCUCCACACCCCGCCGGGGGGCAGUGGUGGGGAUCUUCCCACACGGCGCGAAGGCCUGACGGGCCAGCCCCGGGUGGUUGAGGAGGUUUUUCGGAUGUUAAAACUCUUUUAUGAGGAAAAAACAUAUGUGAAAGUAUCUGUCCCCAUCUGGCCGGUCCCUAAACGGAAACCCAGGCCUACCUCCGCC
rnacentral:rRNA from 1 species